GACGAACGCUGGCGGCGUGCUUAACACAUGCAAGUCGAACGGUAAGGCCCUUCGGGGUACACGAGUGGCGAACGGGUGAGUAACACGUGGGUGAUCUGCCCUGCACUUCGGGAUAAGCCUGGGAAACUGGGUCUAAUACCGGAUAGGACCACUGCCUGCAUGGGUGGUGGUGGAAAGCUUUUGCGGUGUGGGAUGGGCCCGCGGCCUAUCAGCUUGUUGGUGGGGUGAUGGCCUACCAAGGCGACGACCGGUAGCCGGCCUGAGAGGGUGACCGGCCACACUGGGACUGAGAUACGGCCCAGACUCCGACGGGAGGCAGCAGUGGUGAAUAUUGCACAAUGGGCGCAAGCCUGAUGCAGCGACGCCGCGUGAGGGAUGACGGCCUUCGGGUUGUAAACCUCUUUCAGCAUCGACGAAGCGAAAGUGACGGUAGGUGCAGAAGAAGGACCGGCCAACUACGUGCCAGCCGCCGCAGUAA
rnacentral:rRNA from 1 species